AUUGGGACUGAGAUACGGCCCAGACUCCUACGGGAGGCAGCAGUGGGGAAUAUUGCACAAUGGGCGCAAGCCUGAUGCAGCGACGCCGCGUGCGGGAUGACGGCCUUCGGGUUGUAAACCGCUUUUGACUGGGAGCAAGCCCUUCGGGGUGAGUGUACCUUUCGAAUAAGCACCGGCUAACUACGUGCCAGCAGCCGCGGUAAUACGUAGGGUGCAAGCGUUAUCCGGAAUUAUUGGGCGUAAAGGGCUCGUAGGCGGUUCGUCGCGUCCGGUGUGAAAGUCCAUCGCUUAACGGUGGAUCCGCGCCGGGUACGGGCGGGCUUGAGUGCGGUAGGGGAGACUGGAAUUCCCGGUGUAACGGUGGAAUGUGUAGAUAUCGGGAAGAACACCAAUGGCGAAGGCAGGUCUCUGGGCCGUCACUGACGCUGAGGAGCGAAAGCGUGGGGAGCGAACAGGAUUAGAUACCCUGGUAGUCCACGCCGUAAACGGUGGAUGCUGGAUGUGGGGACCAUUCCACGGUCUCCGUGUCGGAGCCAACGCGUUAAGCAUCCCGCCUGGGGAGUACGGCCGCAAGGCUAAAACUCAAAGAAAUUGACGGGGGCCCGCACAAGCGGCGGAGCAUGCGGAUUAAUUCGAUGCAACGCGAAGAACCUUACCUGGGCUUGACAUGUUCCCGACAGCCCCAGAGAUGGGGCCUCCCUUCGGGGCGGGUUCACAGGUGGUGCAUGGUCGUCGUCAGCUCGUGUCGUGAGAUGUUGGGUUAAGUCCCGCAACGAGCGCAACCCUCGCCCUGUGUUGCCAGCACGUCGUGGUGGGAACUCACGGGGGACCGCCGGGGUCAACUCGGAGGAAGGUGGGGAUGACGUCAGAUCAUCAUGCCCCUUACGUCCAGGGCUUCACGCAUGCUACAAUGGCCGGUACAACGGGAUGCGACACCGCGAGGUGGAGCGGAUCCCUUAAAACCGGUCUCAGUUCGGAUUGGAGUCUGCAACCCGACUCCAUGAAGGCGGAGUCGCUAGUAAUCGCGGAUCAGCAACGCCGCGGUGAAUGCGUUCCCGGGCCUUGUACACACCGCCCGUCAAGUCAUGAAAGUGGGUAGCACCCGAAGCCGGUGGCCCAACCUUUUUGGGGGGAGCCGUCUAAGGUGAGACUCGUGAUUGGGACUAAGUCGUAACAAGGUAGCCGUACCGGAAGGUGCGGCUG
rnacentral:rRNA from 1 species